rnacentral:tRNA from 2 species
GCCCAGGUGGUGAAAUCGGUAUACACAAGGGACUUAAAAUCCCUCGGCUUAAUUGCUAUGCGGGUUCAAGUCCCGCUCUGGGCACCA